GUCUUUUAGAAAAUAAUUUAAAGUCUAAUCUGCCCACUGAAUUUUAUUUAAAGGGCUGCAGUAUAUUGACUGUACAAAGGUAGCAUAAUCAAUAGUCUUUUAAUUGAAGACUUGUAUGAAUGAUUUGAUGAGAUAUAAACUGUCUCUUUUUUAAUAAUGGAAUUUAAUUUUUUAGUUAAAAAGCUAAAAUAGAUAUAAAAGACGAGAAGACCCUAUAGAGUUUUAUAAUUAUUUUUAUUUAAAUUUUAUAUAAAAUUUAAAAUUUAUAUAAAAAUAAUUAUUUUGUUGGGGUGAUAAGAAAAUUAAAAAAACUUUUUUUUUAUUUUAACAUUAAUUUAUGAAUAAAUGAUCCAUAAUUUAUGAUUAAAGGAAUAAAUUACCUUAGGGAUAACAGCGUAAUUUUUUUUUUUAGUUCAAAUAAGAAUUAAAGUUUGCGACCUCGAUGUUGGAUUAAGAUAAAAUUUAAAUGCAAAAGUUUAAAAUUUUGAUCUGUUCGAUCAUUAAAAUCUU
rnacentral:rRNA from 1 species